UACGAAGGGGGCUAGCGUUGCUCGGAAUCACUGGGCGUAAAGGGUGCGUAGGCGGGUCUUUAAGUCAGGGGUGAAAUCCUGGAGCUCAACUCCAGAACUGCCUUUGAUACUGAGGAUCUUGAGUACGGGAGAGGUGAGUGGAACUGCGAGUGUAGAGGUGAAAUUCGUAGAUAUUCGCAAGAACACCAGUGGCGAAGGCGGCUCACUGGCCCGUUACUGACGCUGAGGUACGAAAGCGUGGGGAGCAAACAGG
rnacentral:rRNA from 1 species